CUGACUUGCCCUGCACCUGUUACCGGACCUGCCCAGCGCCCGCUACCCGGAGCAGUUGCUGGGCCUGCUGCUCGCCUACUACCCUGAGGAACCCAUGGUCCUGGACCCCACAGAGGACACCCUGACCCAGGUGUAUAUAGCUGACUGGAGAAGCAGGUCUGAAGUGAACUUCGGGGGAUUUGAGGAACGGAAUUCUGGCCUGAAGACUGAAUGCGUGAGGUGAAGCUCCCUGGUCCAAGAGCAGAAGUGCCACUUUCUGAUUAUCGUAAUGUGCAGCUACAUGGAGUGGAGUUAAACCACUCUAAAAACACAUGCAGAACAAACAAGCAUUGUUAUAACUACCAUCAGUGAAAAUGCAGGAGUGCAAAGAAUUAGGUUAAACUAGAUACGGACAUGAAGAAAGUAUUCUUCCACCAUAACACCUGCAAUUCUCCUGCUGAAAGAACUGUUUCUGGGUUGUGGAUAACCUUGUUAAUCUGGGCUGUCUUCACCAGGCAAUGUGAAGAGGUGUGAAACCAUUCUGUUAAUGAGAAAGGAAAUACUUUCAUACACCACC